GUUCUCCUUUCAUUUUCGUUUUGAACAAUUCGCAGAAAAUAACUUCCAACCAUAUACAAGAAUGGAGAUACUUUGACAAAUCAACUUUAUGGAGUUGUAAAUCACCACGGCUUGACUUAUGGUGGUCACUAUACGUCAUAUGUGAAGCGUCUUCCACAUCAGGGUGAUUGGUACUACUGCAAUGACAGCCUUGUGUCAAAAUCCACCUUGCCCGACGCUUCGUUAUCUCCUGAUGCUUAUUUGUUGUUCUAUAAACUUUGAUAUUGGAAAAUCA